rnacentral:rRNA from 1 species
ACGGACCUUCGGGUCAGUGGCGGACGGGUGAGUAACGCGUGGGAAUCUGCCUUCAGGAGGGGGAUAACGGCUGGAAACGGCCGCUAAUACCCCAUAUGCCGCGAGGUGAAAUGAAUUUCGCCUGAAGAUGAGCCCGCGUCUGAUUAGCUAGUUGGUGGGGUAAGAGCCUACCAAGGCGACGAUCAGUAGCUGGUCUGAGAGGAUGAUCAGCCACACUGGGACUGGGACACGGCCCAGACUCCUACGGGAGGCAGCAGUGGGGAAUUUUCCGCAAUGGGCGAAAGCCUGACGGAGCAACGCCGCGUGAGGGAUGAAGGCCUCUGGGCUGUAAACCUCUUUUCUCAAGGAAGAAGAUCUGACGGUACUUGAGGAAUAAGCCACGGCUAAUUCCGUGCCAGCAGCCGCGGUAAUACGGGAGUGGCAAGCGUUAUCCGGAAUUAUUGGGCGUAAAGCGUCCGCAGGCGGUUCUGUAAGUCUGUCGUUAAAGCGUGGAGCUCAACUCCAUUUCGGCGAUGGAAACUGCAGGACUUGAGUGUGGUAGGGGCAGAGGGAAUUCCCGGUGUAGCGGUGAAAUGCGUAGAUAUCGGGAAGAACACCAGUGGCGAAAGCGCUCUGCUGGGCCAUAACUGACGCUCAUGGACGAAAGCCAGGGGAGCGAAAGGGAUUAGAUACCCCUGUAGUCCUGGCCGUAAACGAUGAACACUAGAUGUCGGGGGAAUCGACCCCCUCGGUGUCG